rnacentral:sRNA from 1 species
AUAUAGACGAAUAUCUCAGGAACUAGUGGAUCAAGCAUUCCAUCGAACACAUUCUAGGUGUAGGAAUACUUUGGAUCGAAUAUCUCAGGAAAGAAAUAAGCAGUAAACACAACUAGUCCUAAAGGGAUUCAAUCAAGUCUAAAACUUAACCAUUCUACACACUACGGAUUCCACAACCAUUCUAUCUCAUCCUUUAGAACUCUAUGUCACUACUCAGACAACAUGCUCAGAGACAUAAUCGCAGGUAAACAAGUAUAUUGCAUCAGUAAAGAGAUAAAGAGUAGAGAUACAAGAUGACAUAUGAAAUCAAAUGCGGAAUCUGAAUAACUUGGAAAA